rnacentral:rRNA from 1 species
UACGUAGGGGGGCAAGCGUUGUCCGGAUUUAUUGGGCGUAAAGAGCGUGUAGGCGGCUAGAUAGGUCCGUUGUGAAAACUCGAGGCUCAACCUCGAGACGUCGAUGGAAACCAUCUGGCUAGAGUCCGGAAGAGGAGAGUGGAAUUCCUGGUGUAGCGGUGAAAUGCGCAGAUAUCAGGAAGAACACCCGUGGCGAAGGCGGCUCUCUGGUACGUGACUGACGCUGAGGUGCGAAAAGCGUGGGGAGCAAACAG